GCGGGAGUGGUGGAACUGGUAGACACGCCAGAUUUAGGUUCUGGUGCCGCAAGGUGUAGGGGUUCGAGUCCCCUCUCCCGCA
rnacentral:tRNA from 1 species